CGCAUUUCAAUCUAACGUGCAAACUCAAAGUAAAAUCUUCGAGUCAAAAAAUUAGUAUAAAAAACAUAAAACAAUAAUGCUAAAAGAAAUGUAUUUGUUCGAGUCAUAUAAACGAAUAUGGCAAACACACGAAUGUACAUUCAUCGAGAAAAAUAAUUCGAACCAACACAAUGACUUGGUAUUAUACAAGGACGAUAGUAUUAUUUCUGAAAGAGAAAUCGAUAAAGGUUAGUGCACCAAGUCAACGAGUACGAAUAAUUGGAAAAUCUCGUUUACUCAAAGAAUAAGGUAAUUGCCGAGAGAGAAAACAAAUGCUGUUACUACAGUACAUUAAAUGAUAUAAAAUGCUUACUAAAUAUACAGGGUGGUUGGUAACUGGUGAUACAAGCGGAAAGGGGGUGAUUCUACGCGAAAAAAGAAGUUGAAAAUAUAGAAUAAAAAUUUUUCGUUUGAGGCUUUGUUUUCGAGAAAAUC
rnacentral:misc_RNA from 1 species